GACGAACGCUGGCGGCGUGCUUAACACAUGCAAGUCGAACGGAAAGGCCCUGCUUGCAGGGUCCUCGAGUGGCGAACGGGUGAGUAACACGUGGGUGAUCUGCCCUACGCUUCGGGAUAAGCCUGGGAAACUGGGUCUAAUACCGGAUAUGACCUUCCAUGUAGUGUGGGGGGUGGAAAGAUUUAUCGGUGUGGGAUGAGCCCGCGGCCUAUCAGCUUGUUGGUGGGGUAAUGGCCUACCAAGGCGUCGACGGGUAGCCGGCCUGAGAGGGUGGACGGCCACAUUGGGACUGAGAUACGGCCCAGACUCCUACGGGAGGCAGCAGUGGGGAAUAUUGCACAAUGGGCGGAAGCCUUAUGCAGCGACGCCGCGUGGGGGAUGACGGCCUUCGGGUUGUAAACCUCUUUCGACAGGGACGAAGCUUCGGUGACGGUACCUGUAUAAGAAGCACCGGCUAACUACGUG
rnacentral:rRNA from 1 species